GGCUCAGGUGGCCUAGUGGUUAGAGCGUCUGUCUUGGAAAUGGAAGGUCGCGUCUUCGAGCCCACCCUAGUCA